UUUUCCUACGGGGGGCAGCAGUGGGGAAUAUUGGGCAAUGGGCGCAAGCCUGACCCAGCAACGCCGCGUGAAGGAAGAAGGCUUUCGGGUUGUAAACUUCUUUUCUCAGGGACGAAGAAAGUGACGGUACCUGAGGAAUAAGCCACGGCUAACUACGUGCCAGCAGCCGCGGUAAUACGUAGGUGGCAAGCGUUAUCCGGAUUUACUGGGUGUAAAGGGCGUGUAGGCGGGAAAGCAAGUCAGAUGUGAAAACCACGGGCUCAACCUGUGGCCUGCAUUUGAAACUGUUUUUCUUGAGUACUGGG
rnacentral:rRNA from 1 species